GAAAUGCGAUAAGUAAUGUGAAUUGCAGAAUUCCGUGAAUCAUCGAAUCUUUGAACGCACAUUGCGCCCUCUGGCAUUCCGGGGGGCAUGCCUGUCCGAGCGUCAUUGCAAACCCUCAAGCACGGCUUGUGUGUUGGGUGUUUGUCCCCGUCUCCGCGCGUGGACUCGCCCCAAAGUGAUUGGCAGCCGGCGUACUGGUCCCGGAGCGCAGCACAUGUCGCGCAAACGAGUGCCUUGGUACGGCGGCGUCCAUAAGCCCCUCUCUCACGCUCUUGACCUCGGAUCAGGUAGGGAUACCCGCUGAACUUAAGC
rnacentral:misc_RNA from 1 species